AUUUCUAUUCUUUUUUGCACUUCCGUCAGGUGAUUUCAAGACAUCUAGCGGUCGAUAUUGCAAGUUUCUAAAUUUAUACUUAGAUGGCGUUAGCAGUUCGGGAAUGGAGAAAAACAAAAGUUUCCCUCAUUUUUUCCAACCGUGUGUCGUUCGUGCGUUCUUACGGUUUCUCUCCUUUCGACAAUAUUCGUACACAAACACUCACAUACAUUGUAUGUGUGCAUGUUAAAACAAGUCCACGUACCGUUGGCACACUCACACACAGUAUGUGUUCCAUGAAAAAACGAUAAAAAAGAAGACCUUCACGUGGUGGACUGACCGACUGCCUUGAAUUUUUUUGUCAUCAAACCGGGAUAUGAUUCCAACUAGGCAUUCCACCUUUCCUCGAUAUCCGGCUUUACUUUUUGGGGCUGGGCACCAGUCCGUAUCGAGGAGGCGGAAUUACGACAGACAGCACGCAGCCAACGGGAAAAAAAAAGAGGAACAUUCGCCCAGCUGACAUUCCGACCCCAAAUCAUGCACAUUCUUUAAGGAAGCGAGAAUCUAUAUCAGAAGACCUUUUUUUUCCUGCUACCGUCAUCCGGCCGUGGAAUCGAUACAGUUACAGGGAAAUGAAAAUGAGCUUCCUCCCCUUUUAGACAUGUAUCGUGUCCCUGGUAAUCUCUUCCAUGAGUGCCAAAGACACAGGAAAGAAACGUGUCAAACACAAUGGCAAAAGUUUUUUCCUUUUGUCACAAGAGGCUUCGUCGUCAUCUAGCUGUAAUCUCACUUUGGAACCGUGUAAUCGAUUUAGAGCUCAAGAAAUUCCUUGGAACUGAAAAUGUGAUUAUUCUGCAGACGAAAACUGCUCGAUUUUUUGUUUUGAAAAAUUUGGAAAGAGCUCCAUGAAAACGACGAGGCCUCUGGGACCCACAAAAAAAGGAAGUAUUAUGAACGACUGUUUAUAUUUGAACCAGCAGCAGCUCAGAAUAUGGGGCUUUAACAAUAGCUCUCAGCAAAAGAGUUCCUCGCCUUUUGCACCCCUCACAACUCAGUCAUUCAAAAAUGUCGGUUUGGAGUUUUUCGAGUGAUGAGAACUCACAAACGGAGGGGGGUUCGGUCCGAUGAAUAGCCUUAGCACGCUCCAGCUGGCGAUCUAUAUAUACGAGACAGAAGGAGAGGCUCGUGUUGCUGUGUGAACAUUGUCAAAAGGUAGAUAACAAAAUCCCGUGCCUAAUUAGCGCGUUACUGUUACACAAGAAGAAAAGUGAGAACCUCAAAGUCAAAGAAAUAUCACUCGUCAGAGUCUUUAAUUUGUCUGACUCUUGGGGUCAGCAGUAUCCAGCUGUUUUGGCGCUAAGAAAAUAAAUGCUUUCUUACACAAA